UACGUAGGGGGCAAGCGUUAUCCGGAUUUAUUGGGUUUAAAGGGUGCGUAGGCGGAUCGUUAAGUCAGUGGUCAAAUUGAGGGGCUCAACCCCUUCCCGCCAUUGAAACUGGCGCUCUUGAGUGGAAGAGAAGUAUGCGGAAUGCGUGGUGUAGCGGUGAAAUGCAUAGAUAUCACGCAGAACCCCGAUUGCGAAGGCAGCAUGCCGGCUUCCGACUGACGCUGAAGCACGAAAGCGUGGGGAUCGAACAGG
rnacentral:rRNA from 1 species